UGAAAGUCUGUACUCAUGAAACACGGACUCCUCAUUCCCUCCUCUCUCACAGCCCCUAGUAACCAUCAUUCUACCUUCUGUCUCCAUGAAUUUAACUACCCUAGGAACCUCACGUAAGUGGAAUCAUGGAGUAUUUGGCCUUUUGUAACUGGCUUAUUUCACUUAGCAUAACAUCCUCAAGAUUUAUCCAUGCUGUAGCAGGUCUCACCAAAAAACAAAACCAAAAACAAUUUGUUUUAAAGGAAGCUCUAUGCCCGACGUGAGGCUGAAACUCCUGACCCAAGAUCAAGAGUCACGUGCUCUACUGACUGAGCUAGCCAGGUGUCUCCUCACCAAAAUAUUUUUAAAGCAUGUCAGCAGGUGGCCCUUUGGGGGCAUGGGGAAGUAGGGAUGGGCCCAAUUAGCAGAGUGGCGCCCAUAAAUAUGGGCAUGAACACAUACUGGGGUCCUGCAGGACCAAUACACACGUUCUUGCACACUCUCUUCCAUGUGACUUCCACAAAUCCCAGAGGGCUGCCCCCCUGCCCUUUGGGAACUGUUCUCAGACCUCCUUGUGCAUUAGAGAUGUGUGAAGAGCUGGUCACGGUGCUGGUCCCACGCCCCGCAGGGGUUCCUACGAGACGGGGUACAGCAGGUGAUGCUGAGGCAGGGGACCAGGCACUGCACUUUGGGAGACCUACGGUCAUGGAAACUGCUCCAUGUGCAAUGAAAGGACUUCGCCCCAGCCUGAGCUCCUGUGUAGACAGUUGGCAGUGGGUGGCUUCUUGUGAAAACCGACAGGCGAAAGAGCAUGCCUCUGAUCACAGAAGAAGGGGUCACGACAUCAGGCGACCUCCAAGACCAGCCAGUCAGGGCGCCGUGGGAUGAAGUGCCACCUGUCUCCACCCCCCCACCCCCCACCAAACCUCCUCAACAGCCUGUUGGUCAGAAAAGGCAAGGGAUACCCAGCCAGCCUCAGCCUUCGAGGGCAGCCCCAGGACUGGGGUGAUCUCUAUUUCCCUGUCCCAGACCAGAACCACAUCUGCAUGGAAUUUUCUUAUUCUUUCUAGCUCUGUGUCACUGAUUUCCAGUAUUCUAAAUUCUUUACCCAGUUUGACUUUAAUCUUUUCUGCUGUGGGUUCAAUGAAUUAUGGGUUGUUCUGGGUUCAGGAAGCUGAGGCUUCACCUCUUUCGUAUAAUAAAUCAUCACGGAAACAAAAGCA
rnacentral:lncRNA from 1 species